rnacentral:rRNA from 1 species
CGCGCGAUACAGGGUGACAGCCCCGUACACAAAAGCGCAUGUGCUGUGAGCUCGAUGAGUAGGGCGGGACACGUGGUAUCCUGUCUGAAUAUGGGGGGACCAUCCUCCAAGGCUAAAUACUCCUGACUGACCGAUAGUGAACCAGUACCGUGAGGGAAAGGCGAAAAGAACCCCGGCGAGGGGAGUGAAAAAGAACCUGAAACCGUGUACGUACAAGCAGUGGGAGCACCCUUUGGGUGUGACUGCGUACCUUUUGUAUAAUGGGUCAGCGACUUAUAUUCUGUAGCAAGGUUAACCGAAUAGGGGAGCCGGAGGGAAACCGAGUCUUAACCGGGCGUUAAGUUGCAGGGUAUAGACCCGAAACCCGGUGAUCUAGCCAUGGGCAGGUUGAAGGUUGGGUAACACUAACUGGAGGACCGAACCGACUAAUGUUGAAAAAUUAGCGGAUGACCUGUGGCUGGGGGUGAAAGGCCAAUCAAACCGGGAGAUAGCUGGUUCUCCCCGAAAGCUAUUUAGGUAGCGCCUCGUGAAUUCAUCUCCGGGGGUAGAGCACUGUUUCGGCUAGGGGGCCAUCCCGGCUUACCAACCCGAUGCAAACUGCGAAUACCGGAGAAUGUUAUCACGGGAGACACACGGCGGGUGCUAACGUCCGUCGUGAAGAGGGAAACAACCCAGACCGCCAGCUAAGGUCCCAAAGUCAUGGUUAAGUGGGAAACGAUGUGGGAAGGCCCAGACAGCCAGGAUGUUGGCUUAGAAGCAGCCAUCAUUUAAAGAAAGCGUAAUAGCUCACUGGUCGAGUCGGCCUGCGCGGAAGAUGUAACGGGGCUAAACCAUGCACCGAAGCUGCGGCAGCGACACUGUGUGUUGUUGGGUAGGGGAGCGUUCUGUAAGCCUGUGAAGGUGUGUCGUGAGGCAUGCUGGAGGUAUCAGAAGUGCGAAUGCUGACAUAAGUAACGAUAAAGCGGGUGAAAAGCCCGCUCGCCGGAAGACCAAGGGUUCCUGUCCAACGUUAAUCGGGGCAGGGUGAGUCGACCCCUAAGGCGAGGCCGAAAGGCGUAGUCGAUGGGAAACGGGUUAAUAUUCCCGUACUUGGUGUUACUGCGAAGGGGGGACGGAGAAGGCUAUGUUGGCCGGGCGACGGUUGUCCCGGUUUAAGCGUGUAGGUGUGUGUUCCAGGUAAAUCCGGUUCACUUUAACACUGAGGCGUGACGACGAGGCACUACGGUGCUGAAGCAACAAAUGCCCUGCUUCCAGGAAAA